UACGUAGGGUGCGAGCGUUAAUCGGAAUUACUGGGCGUAAAGGGCUCGUAGGUUGCCAACUAAGUCAGACGUGAAAUCCCUCGGCUUAACCGGGGAACUGCGUCUGAUACUGGAUGGCUUGAGUUCGGGAGAGGGAUGCGGAAUUCCAGGUGUAGCGGUGAAAUGCGUAGAUAUCUGGAGGAACACCGGUGGCGAAGGCGGCAUCCUGGACCGACACUGACACUGAGGAGCGAAAGCCAGGGGAGCAAACGGG
rnacentral:rRNA from 1 species